rnacentral:rRNA from 1 species
AACGAACGCUGGCGGCAGGCCUAACACAUGCAAGUCGAACGAUGAAGUGGACUUCGGUUCAUGGAAGAGUGGCGGACGGGUGAGUAACGCGUGGGAACGUGCCCUUGGGUAUGGAACAACCACUGGAAACGGUGGCUAAUACCAUAUGAUGUCUUCGGACCAAAGAUUUAUCGCCCAAGGAUCGGCCCGCGUUGGAUUAGUUAGUUGGUGAGGUAAUGGCUCACCAAGGCGACGAUCCAUAGCUGGUCUGAGAGGAUGAUCAGCCACACUGGGACUGAGACACGUCCCAGACUCCUACGGGAGGCAGCAGUGGGGAAUAUUGGACAAUGGGCGCAAGCCUGAUCCAGCCAUGCCGCGUGAGUGAAGAAGGCCUUAGGGUUGUAAAACUCUUUCGCUAGGGAAGAUAAUGACGGUACCUAGUAAAGAAGCCCCGGCUAACUCCGUGCCAGCCGCCGCCGUAACAC